AAGGUCCUGCAAGAGGCAGCAUCAUGUGCUUAUACCAAAGGACUGAGCCCUGAGGUGCCAGUUGGUACUUGGCUGCGUUGCAGCUAUGAAAAAGUGAGAAAAGCAAGAAAACUUGAGGGUACAUCCAAGGAGGAAGGAGCACAGACACACUUUACAAGGAGAAACUUGUUACUUUCUACAGAUGGAGCCAAAGACAGCAAAUGUUAAAAGGUAACAGACAGAAGAUCAGUGAAUGGGCUUAGCAGACCCAUGAUAUCGCCACGAGCUCCUACAGAAGGAAGUGUUCCAGCUUGGUUAACUACGAUAAUUAUUGGGUGAUGGAUUUGCUACACCUCCAUCAAGAAGUGCUGGCUGACAAACUUGCAAUGCCAUAACAGAGAGUCCGAGUUGAGACUGCGGAGUUGAGAUAUGCAGGCGAAUACUGCUUAGGAGCAGUUGCUGGCCUUGCUUGACCGAUAGGCACUGGUGCUAAGAGCCAGAUCAGAAAGACAACUGUACUGCGUCAAAGCUGCCCUGAUUCCGCAAGAAACUUGUCCUGUCCUCCCAGCUCACCAGCCUGCCCAGGGCAGCGGAGGUCUCUGUGGUUUCCCUGAGGGUCCUUCAUAAUACGAGCUCUGGAGACAAGGCUUUCAAGACUUGCUCUCCCACUCCAUUUGAGCACCAGGACUGAAAUAGCAGCAGUGCAUUUGCAAAAUCCUGAUGUGCCAGGCAAAUGCUUAUUGAGGUGAAAAAAGGAGGAACCUAUGAGGCACGAACAUCAUAAUACAUUUCCUUUACCAUUCAAAGGUAAGUAGAGAAGGAAGAAAGCAGGCAUGCUUAGGCUAAUCAGUAAAAGUAGCUGCCAUUUUGUAAGGGAAAUUAUACUGGAAAAUUCUGCUUUGUAACUAUCAUGCAGAAGAGAGGCAACUAUAAAAUCUCUGCUUUAUCACGCAGUAAAGAAAACAUGA